rnacentral:rRNA from 1 species
CGAACGAAGCACUUUAUUUGAUUUCCUUCGGGACUGAUUAUUUUGUGACUGAGUGGCGGACGGGUGAGUAACGCGUGGGUAACCUGCCUUGUACAGGGGGAUAACAGUUGGAAACGGCUGCUAAUACCGCAUAAGCGCACAGCAUUGCAUGAUGCAGUGUGAAAAACUCCGGUGGUAUAAGAUGGACCCGCGUUGGAUUAGCUAGUUGGUGAGGUAACGGCCCACCAAGGCGACGAUCCAUAGCCGACCUGAGAGGGUGACCGGCCACAUUGGGACUGAGACACGGCCCAAACUCCUACGGGAGGCAGCAGUGGGGAAUAUUGCACAAUGGGCGAAAGCCUGAUGCAGCGACGCCGCGUGAGCGAAGAAGUAUUUCGGUAUGUAAAGCUCUAUCAGCAGGGAAGAUAAUGACGGUACCUGACUAAGAAGCACCGGCUAAAUACGUGCCAGCAGCCGCGGUAAUACGUAUGGUGCAAGCGUUAUCCGGAUUUACUGGGUGUAAAGGGAGCGCAGGCGGUGCGGCAAGUCUGAUGUGAAAGCCCGGGGCUCAACCCCGGUACUGCAUUGGAAACUGUCGUACUAGAGUGUCGGAGGGGUAAGCGGAAUUCCUAGUGUAGCGGUGAAAUGCGUAGAUAUUAGGAGGAACACCAGUGGCGAA